CCCGCUGAACUUAAGCAUAUCAAUAAGCGGAGAAAAAGAAACCAACAGGGAUUGCCUUAGUAACGGCGAGUGAAGCGGCAAAAGCUCAAAUUUGAAAUCUGCCACCAGGCCGAAUUGUAAUUUGUAGAGGAACGUUCGGUGACGCCUUAGUCCGAGUCUUCUGGAAGGAAGCGCCAAUGAGGGUGAGAGCCCCGUAGGAUGAAUGGCUAAGCCUUGUGUACGUCCUUCGAAGAGUCGAGUUGUUUGGGAAUGCAGCUCAAAACGGGUGGUAAAUUCCAUCUAAAGCUAAAUAUUGGCCAGAGACCGAUAGCGCACAAGUAGAGUGAUCGAAAGAUGAAAAGCACUUUGGAAAGAGAGUGAAACAGUACGUGAAAUUGUUGAAAGGGAAGCGCUAGCGACCAGACUUGUGUUUGAUGUUCAGCUGUUUAUUUAAGCAGUGUAUUUCAUCAGUUACAGGCCAACAUCGGUUUUUUGGGUCGGAUAAAAUCAUUGGGAACGUGGCUCCUCGUUGAGUGUUAUAGCCCUUUGAAGAAUACGGCCACAGAAGACCGAGGACCGCCUUUUGAAGGAUGUUGGCGUAAUGGUUGUUAGCGGCCCGUCUUGAAACACGG
rnacentral:rRNA from 1 species